UUUCCGUAGGUGAACCUGCGGAAGGAUCAUUACAGUAGUCGCCCGGGUUGCCGCAAGGCCUCCCGGGUAACCUACCACCCUUUGUUUAUUACACUUUGUUGCUUUGGCAGGCCUGCCCUCGGGCUGCUGGCUCCGGCCGGCGAGCGCUUGCCAGAGGACCUAAACUCUGUUUGUCUAUACUGUCUGGGUACUAUAUAAUAGUUAAAACUUUCAACAACGGAUCUCUUGGUUCUG
rnacentral:misc_RNA from 1 species